rnacentral:rRNA from 1 species
GCACCAAAGCGUGAGCAUGUGGUUUAAUUCGAAGAUACGCGAAAAACCUUACCAGGUCUUGACAUACCAAUGAUCGCUUUUGUAAUGAAAGCUUUUCUUCGGAACAUUGGAUACAGGUGGUGCAUGGUCGUCGUCAGCUCGUGUCGUGAGAUGUUGGGUUAAGUCCCGCAACGAGCGCAACCCUUGUUAUUAGUUGCCAGCAUUUAGUUGGGCACUCUAAUGAGACUGCCGGUGAUAAACCGGAGGAAGGUGGGGACGACGUCAGAUCAUCAUGCCCCUUAUGACCUGGGCAACACACGUGCUACAAUGGGAAGUACAACGAGUCGCAAACCGGCGACGGCAAGCUAAUCUCUUAAAACUUCUCUCAGUUCGGACUGGAGUCUGCAACUCGACUCCACGAAGGCGGAAUCGCUAGUAAUCGCGAAUCAGCAUGUCGCGGUGAAUACUUUCCCGGGACAA